rnacentral:rRNA from 1 species
UACGUAGGGGGCAAGCGUUGUCCGGAAUUAUUGGGCGUAAAGAGCGCGUAGGCGGUCUGAUAAGUCGGUUGUGAAAGUCGGGGGGCUCAACCCUCGGAUGCCGAUCGAUACUGUCAGGCUAGAGUCCGGAAGAGGCGAGUGGAAUUCCCGGUGUAGCGGUGAAAUGCGCAGAUAUCGGGAGGAACACCAAUUGCGAAGGCAGCUCGCUGGGACGUUACUGACGCUGAGACGCGAAAGCGUGGGGAGCAAACAGG